AGAGUCCUACAUUGUUCGUAAAAACUGAUUGUUUUGAGCCAACACUUUUGAAAAGGGAGCAAUAAGUUGUUUGUUGGAUUACAUGCCUUCUACGUCAAGGACGUAAGAGAAUGAACACUAGGCACCCACCUGUGAGAGCAGGUUCAAAACGUAAGUCAAAUACGGCAUAGCUGGGAUUCUU
rnacentral:other from 3 species